rnacentral:lncRNA from 1 species
CAGGCUGGCUAGAUUACUCCACCCACGAAGGUCAUGAUUGGAUGAAAGGUUGGGAGCUGUAAUAAUAGUAUAAACCACACCCAUUUGUGGCCAUUGUCUUCAGCACCUGGAGAAGCCUUCUUUAUUCUGGGAGAGUGAAGCCAACAAGCAAAUAAAAGCAGACUCAAGAGAUAGAGAAAGGAUAUAAUUACAUUGGUUGAAUGCUUGUAUUUUCUUGGAACUG